rnacentral:rRNA from 1 species
ACUGCUCAGUAACACGUGGACAACCUGCCCUUAGGACGGGGAUAAACCCGGGAAACUGGGUAUAAUACCCGAUAGGUCUCGAUUGCUGGAAUGCAUCGAGAUCUAAAGCUCCGGCGCCUAAGGAUGGGUCUGCGGCCUAUCAGGUAGUAGUGGGUGUAGCGUACCUACUAGCCUACGACGGGUACGGGUUGUGAGAGCAAGAGCCCGGAGAUGGAUUCUGAGACACGAAUCCAGGCCCUACGGGGUGCAGCAGGCGCGAAAACUUUACAAUGCUGGCAACAGCGAUAAGGGAACCUCGAGUGCCAGGUUACAAAUCUGGCUGUCGAGAUGCCUAAAAAGCAUUUCAUAGCAAGGGCCGGGCAAGACCGGUGCCAGCCGCCGCGGUAACACCGGCGGCUCGAGUGGUAACCGUUAUUAUUGGGUCUAAAGGGUCUGUAGCCGGCCGGAUAAGUCUCUUGAGAAAUCUGGCAGCUUAACUGUCAGGCUUUCAGGAGAUACUGUCUGGCUCGAGGCCGGGAGAGGUGAGAGGUACUUCAGGGGUAGGGGUGAAAUCUUGUAAUCCUUGAAGGACCACCAGUGGCGAAGGCGUCUCACCAGAACGGACCUGACGGCAAGGGACGAAAGCUAGGGGCACGAACCGGAUUAGAUACCCGGGUAGUCCCAGCCGUAAACGAUGCGCGUUAGGUGUAUCGAUGACCACGAGUCAUCGAGGUGCCGAAGGGAAGCCGUGAAGCGGGCCACCUGGGAAGUACGGCCGCAAGGCUGAAACUUAAAGGAAUUGGCGGGGGAGCAC